AUUGAACGCUGGCGGCAGGCUUAACACAUGCAAGUCGAGCGGGGGAAGGUAGCUUGCUACUGGACCUAGCGGCGGACGGGUGAGUAAUGCUUAGGAAUCUGCCUAUUAGUGGGGGACAACAUCUCGAAAGGGAUGCUAAUACCGCAUACGUCCUACGGGAGAAAGCAGGGGAUCUUCGGACCUUGCGCUAAUAGAUGAGCCUAAGUCGGAUUAGCUAGUUGGUGGGGUAAAGGCCUACCAAGGCGACGAUCUGUAGCGGGUCUGAGAGGAUGAUCCGCCACACUGGGACUGAGACACGGCCCAGACUCCUACGGGAGGCAGCAGUGGGGAAUAUUGGACAAUGGGGGGAACCCUGAUCCAGCCAUGCCGCGUGUGUGAAGAGGGCCUUAUGGAUGUAAAGCACUUUAAGCGAGGAGGAGGCUACUCUAGUUAAUACCUAGGGAUAGUGGACGUUACUCGCAGAAUAAGCACCGGCUAACUCUGUGCCAGCCGCCGCAGUAA
rnacentral:rRNA from 1 species